GCGGAGGGAAGAGGGGGGAAAUCCCUUUUAGUUUUGCGAUUAGGCUGCCAGGCUUUGUAAAGGGCUUAAAAACAAAGUCAUGCUCAGUCUUUUGUAGGAGAGAUCCAGAUGUUAUGUAGAUUUCUGUUUGCAUGUUCGUUUUGAGCGGAUCCGGCGGUGAGCGCAGUAUUUACGUGUGUGUGUGUUGCUGGACUUUACCGUUUAUCGACGUUGCGCUUGUGGAAUGUAUGCUGGAGUAUUAGCUCGGUAAUGCCUUCUAAUGGUAGUGCUAAUUACAGUGGGGUUAUUUAGCAAAUUAAGUGAGAUGAUGCACCCCCCCCACCCUCGAGUACCAAAUGAACUUUUCCGAGCACAUAGGCACACACACACGCGCGUUAAUUUUGGUGCGUUUCUCUCGCCCAAUCACUUCGCUGAAGCUACACCAUGCCUUACCUCAGAGCAGUCAAUUACCAGAGCUACCCGGGAUCAUCAAUCAUGGGGGAUGCUUGAAGUUUAGGGGAGGAGCGAUGGUCAAACUAUCGAUCGCUGCAGUUUUGUCCUCCCCAACCCCCCACCCUCGUUCACGGUCCCCUGCACAUAAAAUCUAAAACAGACUAUCCCGUUAAUAGUGGAAUUUAUCAAUGAUUAUGUGCCCAGUUGUGAAUGUGGCCUCAUACAUAGACGGCUUUUGAAAAUACACGGCAGAAAAUGUAUUAUUCCGUUAGAUUUUGGUUUGGUUUGCUUUUCGUGGCGAUGAUGUUGAUUUUCAGAGAGGAUCUCCUCCAAGAUUAAAGCUAGUCCUAAGAGCAACCGAAUUGCUGUGACUGACUUUCACGGGACUGUAAAGAGAGCUGCCUAUAAAACUCCAGAAGAGGAGCGCUCUCAUUUUUACACUGGAGUUCUCGGUCCGGAGAGAACAAUAUACUCCUACCUCUUUUGAAAUGAUCCGGAGACUCUCACAACACACAGGCAAUCACUCGAAGCACGAAUUUCCUCCUUUUUUUUCCCCCCCAAGAAAUGCUCGGCCCAUUGUUUGAAGUGGGAUUCAGUGCACAGCCCAAAGAGAAAAGGAAAAAAAAAUCAUGAGAGCCCGGUUUGGUAUUGUACGGAGAGAGCUGACAAAAUAUUACAGCGUGUUUCCUAGAAGUACAUGGUGAGAGCCGGCAGUGCGUUCCCGAAAAGAUGUUGCUUUUUAUUUCCACCACCCUCCCCCCCAAGACUGUGAUCGUCUUUGUAUGUCUUUCUUUUGAUCCCGCCAAGAGAAUGCAAUACACAUAUAUGUGUUUGCUCUCCAUACAAGAGAUGCCAUACAAUGGAAUAUGCGGCCGGUUAGUCCUCAUAAUGCUUAGUUUUGCUGUAAUUAAUUGAAAACAGUUAUUAGGUCGUCAUUGGCAAUAGCGUAAAUAAUUGCGCAGAUUUUUACUUAAAAUUGACCGGUCAUAGAGUGAUAGAUCGAUUCGAGGUAUAAAAAUGAUGUAUCAAAACAUCAAUGUCGAUUAUUUGAAAUAUUGUAGUCGAAUCUUUUUAUUGCUUCAUCGGUUAAGUGUCUGAAAGUGCUGUGUUCCAACAUAUAUUUAUGUUGUCAAUACUGUCAAAACUGUCAGUUUUAUUACAGUGGAUUUGUAAUACAUUUCGGAUUUGCUCAUUUACAUAAAAUGUCCACCUCAGAUACCCCUCCUUUUCUCCAUCUCUGGAAAUCUGUGUCAGUUUAAUGAAAGGAUUCA